rnacentral:rRNA from 1 species
CCUACGGGUGGCAGCAGUGAGGAAUAUUGGUCAAUGGGCUUACGCCUGAACCAGCCAAGUCGCGUGAGGGAAGACUGCCCUAUGGGUUGUAAACCUCUUUUGUCAGGGAGCAAUUGGCGCUACGUGUAGCGUUAUCGAGAGGACCUGAAGAAAAAGCACCGAUUAACUCCGUGCCAGCAGCCGCGGUAAUACGGAGGAUGCGAGGGUUAUCCGGAUUUAUUGGGUUAAAGGGGUGCGUAGGGGAAAAGCCAAGUCUGCGGUAAAAUCGCGGGGCUCAACCUCGCUCCGCAGUUGAAACUGGCGUUCUUGAGUGCGCGAGAGGUAUGCGGAAUGCGUGGUGUAGCGGUGAAAUGCAUAGAUAUCACGCAGAACUCCGAUUGCGAAGGCAGCAUACCGGCGCCCAACUGACGCUGAAGCACGAAAGCGUGGGUAUCGAACAGGAUUAGAUACCCCAGUAGUC